UUUUGACCUCAUAUCAAGUAAGAUCACCCGCUGAACUUAAGCAUAUCAAUAAGCGGAGGAAAAGAAACCAACAGGGAUUCCCUUAGUAACGGCGAGUGAACCGGGAAAAGCUCAAAUUUGAAAUCUGCCAACAGGCCGAGUUGUAAUUUGUAGAUGGCUACACUGCAUAAUAGUAGAUGCUCAAGUUCUUUGGAAAAAGACAUCAUGGAGGGUGACAAUCCCGUGAGGCAUGUUACUAGGAGCAUAUAGUGGGCUUUCUAAGAGUCGAGUUGUUUGG
rnacentral:rRNA from 1 species